UGCCCCUUGGUUCGGAAUAACAGUUGGAAACGACUGCUAAUACCGGAUGAUGACGUAAGUCCAAAGAUUUAUCGCCGAGGGAUGAGCCCGCGUAGGAUUAGGUAGUUGGUGUGGUAAGGGCGCACCAAGCCGACGAUCCUUAGCUGGUCUGAGAGGAUGAUCAGCCACACUGGGACUGAGACACGGCCCAGACUCCUACGGGAGGCAGCAGUGGGGAAUAUUGGACAAUGGGCGAAAGCCUGAUCCAGCAAUGCCGCGUGAGUGAUGAAGGCCUUAGGGUUGUAAAGCUCUUUUACCCGGGAUGAUAAUGACAGUACCGGGAGAAUAAGCUCCGGCUAACUCCGUGCCAGCAGCCGCGGUAAUACGGAGGGAGCUAGCGUUAUUCGGAAUUACUGGGCGUAAAGCGCACGUAGGCGGCUUUGUAAGUAAGAGGUGAAAGCCCAGAGCUCAACUCUGGAAUUGCCUUUUAGACUGCAUCGCUUGAAUCAUGGAGAGGUCAGUGGAAUUCCGAGUGUAGAGGUGAAAUUCGUAGAUAUUCGGAAGA
rnacentral:rRNA from 1 species